CAGCCCCCUCUUGCCCUUAGUUCUCCUUCAGCUAAGGACAAGAUCUGACCUCCUCCUCUACUCACAGGCUUCCUCUGCAAGACAAUGGCAGGGCAAAGGAGCUGUGUGUCCAGAGGUGUGUGAGCAUACAGGCUGAAGGCCCACUUGAGACAGGCAGAGAUGUCAAAGCCACCGUCCUCUCCCCCCUGUGAAUGCACACAGUCAACCCGAGAUAAAGGGAGAUUGGCAGCUCUGAGUGGCCAGCAGAUGAAGCGGCUGGCGCGUUAAUGAAUAGAACGCUGAUUGCAGGAUCCCCAAGAUGCAAAUUACCGUGCCUGCCACCCCUGACGACCGGCAAUUACCGGGCCGCCGCGGCGGACGCCUCGUGCAUAUUCAUCGCACCCGCUGGGCAUAUUGAUCAACAACUUACUUCAAGCAAGAAGAACUGAAAUGUAACAUGUCGCUCAGUCAAUGCUAAAAAAAGACUCUUCAUUUUCCCUUUGUCAAAAUUGAAACAGUUAAAUCAAGCAGGACAAGCCCUUUAACUAAGGAAGGAGCAUUAAUUUUAAUCAGGCUAACGUAUAUGCUAAUUGCUAAUAUGUCACAUUGCAGGAACGAAGUGACAAAACAUGUCAUUCAUUCGAAAAUAAUCUUAAUUCAACUAUUAGGCUAAUUCCUGCUUGUACUUUAACUAAUUAACUACACUUAAAGUUCACUGCCCCCAAUAAUGACCGGCAGCUUUUUGUUCAGCACAAAAUAAGAAGAAAAAACUUCAAUAUAACCUUUUUCUAAAUGUACUUCGCACCACAUAUGCUCCAUCGUGAUCAAUUCGGUUUAAAUUAGUUAAAACAUGAAUCAGAUGUCUUUAAAUCAGAAUUAUUUCAUAGGUGUUCUAUGUUCUACUAUAUUAAAGCAAUUUUCCGGUUUUAUGCUGCUAAUAAGCACGUACACAAAA